rnacentral:lncRNA from 1 species
GCAGAAGAGAGAGCAGAGACUAAAGAGAUCCUGAAAAAAACAUUUCUGGGGACAAGGUUGGAGAGAAGAGGGAAUUCAAUGAAAAUAUCAUGCCUCAAAUUAAUGACAUCUGAACUUAGCAAAUCUGUGUGCAACUGAAGUAUUUUGGACAGGAAAUACGGAGAGAGAACAUAUGUGUACUUCGGAAGAGAAUAUGUUAUGACGAAAUGACUUGUUCAGAAGACUCCGUAAAGACAGCAAUAAAGGAAAUGCUUUAUGUUAGACAAAAGCAUGGUGACUUCUGAAUCUUACAUCACCAAAUGAGGAACCCACAAGCAAG